AUUCCCCCCUGACAAACACCUAGAGAAGAAAGUCGUGGUCCAUACAAAUGUUUAUUAAAUUUUACAUAUACUUUUCUGUCAGUCAAAAAGGAUUGCAUCCAAUUUAUUAUUUUACCUGGUAUCCCUAACAUUGAUAACUCGUCACAAAGCACGGCAAUAUUUACACUAUUGAAGGCACCUGAGAUGUCAAAAAAUACAGACAAAAGAUAUUGAUUACUUGCUAAACAUUGAUGCGCAUCAAGCUGUAACUGCGCUAUACUCUCCCUAGAAGACCGACCUUUGCGAAAACCAAACUGAUUAUUAGGCAAAAGACAAUUUUGUUCUAUAAAGAACUCGAGACGUUGUUUUAGAAGCUGCUCAAAUAUCUUCCCAACACAAGACGUGAGAGCUAUAGGUCUAUAAGAGUCAGCAUUUAAAACUGCUUCUGUACACCUCUGAUUCCACCAAGGCGACCAAGGAUAUUUAAAAGAUUUUUGUGAACAAGAACUAGUAGCAUUAUUACUAUUAGAACUUUUGGAAAACAGACAGCUAGGGAUUGACUGCUUGGCAGCAGAAAGUAAAAUAUUACAAAAGGAAUUAAAAGCAUCUAUUGAAGAUAAAGUGUCAAAUUUAACAUCAUCCAAAUAAGAAACAACUAAGUUACUAUACAUAUUCCAAUUCACCUGCUUAUAAUUAGGGUGAGUGGGCAAAUGUAGAUUAUUACAUAAUGUGUUUUGCAAACUAAUACUAUCACUACUUACUGCCAUUUUUAUUAUUACAGGGAGAUGAUAACUACUGCCCAGAGGACUGUCAAUAACUGACCAGUCACAUAAAAGAGCCAAAGAUGGAGUUACCAAAGUCAAGUCAAGAGCAUUAGGACGCCAAGAUGGAGAUCCUAUUGUGGUAGCUUGACCAUUAUUCAGAAUAACAAGACCAUUCUCAUCUAUAACCUCUAAAACAUCUUUACCUCGAGGCAAUGUAUCAACACAUCCCCACAACAUGUGAUGAGCAUUGAAAUCACCUGCAAAUAUCAUUGGCUCUGGAAUGGACUUAAUUAAACUGUUUAAAUUGUUUUUAUUAAAUGGAGGAUUUGAAUUGGAAGGACUGUAAAAACUCACAAUACUCAGUUCUUUGUUAUUAAUUUUAAUUUUAAUGCAAACAUUUUGUAGAGCACUAUCAUAAUAUGUAUUUAUGUUAGAAAAUGUGAUAUUAUUAUGAAUAAAAAUUGCUACACCAUUGUGUUUAUUACCACAA